rnacentral:lncRNA from 1 species
GGGGCCUUGGAGAACCCUUGUGUCUAGCUCAGGGAUUGUAAUUACACCAAUGGGCACUCUGUAUCUAGCUCAAGGUUUGUAAACACACCAAUCAGCACCCUGUGUCUAGCUCAGGGUUUGUGAAUGCACCAAUGGACACUCUAGCUACUAUGGUGGGGCCUUGGAGAACCUUUGUGUGGACACUCUGUGUCUAGCUAAUCUGGUGGGGAGGUGGAGAACCUUUAUGUGGACACUCUGUGUCUAGCUAAUCUGGUGGGGAGGUGGAGAACCUUUGUGUCUUCCUCAGGGAUUGUAAACGCACCAGUCAGCGCCCUGUCAAAACAGACCACUCAGCUCUACCAAUCAGCAGGAUGUGGGUGGGGCCAGAUAAGAGAAUAAAAGCAGGCUGCCUGAGCCGGCACUGGCAACUCGCUCGGGUCCCCUUCCACACCGUGGAAGCUUUGUUCUUUCGCUGUUUGCAAUAAAUCUUGCAGCUGCUCACUCUUUGGGUCCACACUGCCUUUAUGAGCUGUGACACUCACUGGGAAGGUCUGCAGCUUCACUCCUGAAGCCAACGAGACCACAAACCCACGGGGAGGAAUGAACAACUCCAGACACGCCACCUUAAGAGCUGUAACACUCACCGCGAAGGUCCGCAGCUUCACUCCUGAGCCAGAGAUACCACGAACCCCCUCAGAAGGAAGAAACUCUGAACACGUCCAAACACCAGAAGGAACAAACUCCGGACACGCCGCCUUUAAGAACUGUAACACUCAUCUUGAGGGUCCGCGGCUUCAUUCUUGAAGUCAGUGAGACCAAGAACCCACCAAUUCCGGACACACUAUCUUGAUGGAUAUGGAGUCAUAGCGUUUGAAAAGAAAAAAAAUAUUGAGAACUGAGAAAAGGCACUUUGGGAGGUCGAGGUGGGCAGAUCACCUGAGGUCAGGAGUUCAAGACCAGCCUGGACAACACGGUAAAACCCCGUCUCUAUUAAAAAUACAAAAAUUAGAUGGGCGUGGUGGCAGGUGACUGUAAUCCCAGCUACUUGGGAGGCUGAGACAGGAGGAUGGCUGAAACCCAGGAGGCAGAGGUUGCAGUGAGCCGAGACCAUGCCAUUGCUCUGCAGCCUGGCAACAAGGCAUGCCAUUGCCCUGCAACAAGAGAGAAAUCCCCCCGCCCCCCCCAAAAAAAAAAAAACUAGAAAAGGAAAGGAAGGUAUAGUGGAGAGUGCCGUUAGUUCACUGAAAUUCAUUUUCCAUUUCUUCCUGAGCACAGUCUAGACUACAUUUUCCAGCGACUUUUGCAAUUAGGUAUGGCGUCCAGUCCAGUGGAUCAUGAGCAAGCAAUGAGGAACCCAGGCCUUCAGGGAGUGGGCAUGUCUCGUCCAUGCUCUUUCCCCUUCUCACAAUGGAAACUCAGACAUGCCUCUAUAAUCAGCUUCAGCCAUGCAGAAGACAAUUCUCCCAGAGAACGGGGCAGGGGAGGACAGAGCAACGACUCAAAAGAAACCUGUGUCCUUAAAUAGUGGUGGAACAGAACAGGCUGCACCUGGAACAUUUAUUUUGGAUGGUUAUACAAAAGAAACUUCUUCAUCUUUUAAACUUCUAUACUGUUGAGACUGUGUUAUGGCAGCUCAGCCUUUUACCCUACCUAAUAUAAAAAUGAUUCUCAAAUCAGAUCAGAAAGAGAUUCUCCAGGUCCCAUCUUUCCUUUACCAGCUCUCCAUAUGUCACAUGUUGGCUGGGCAGGGUGGCUCACAUCUAUAUCGCAACACUUUGGGAGGCAGUUUUUCAAUUUUGUUAUGGAGCAUUUCAAACAUACAAAUGCAAA